AUGCCAUGUUUGGUUUCAUUCCAUUCAGUGGUUCUCUAAAAGAAGUCAUUUGUAUGCAUUUCCCAUAGGGUCCUAUGUUAAACUAAGUCCCCCGCUGGCGGCCAUCUUGGAUGAUGGAUCGGCUACAAAGUAACAACACUUGGUCAGCACCUCAUAAGGAACAUUCAUGCCAUGUUUGGUUUCAUUCCAUUCAGUGGUUCUCUAAAAGAAGUCAUUUGUAUGCAUUUCCCAUAGGGUCCUAUGUUAAACU
rnacentral:lncRNA from 1 species